CGGGGUGUAGCGCAGUCUGGUAGCGUAUUUGCUUUGGGAGCAAGUGGUCGCUGGUUCGAAUCCAGUCACCCCGACCA
rnacentral:tRNA from 1 species